rnacentral:rRNA from 1 species
AACGAACGCUGGCGGCAUGCCUAACACAUGCAAGUCGAACGAGACCUUCGGGUCUAGUGGCGCACGGGUGCGUAACGCGUGGGAACCUGCCCUUAGGUUCGGAAUAACUCCCCGAAAGGGGUGCUAAUACCGGAUAAUGUCUUCGGACCAAAGAUUUAUCGCCUUUGGAUGGGCCCGCGUUGGAUUAGCUAGUUGGUAGGGUAAAAGCCUACCAAGGCGACGAUCCAUAGCUGGUCUGAGAGGAUGAUCAGCCACACUGGGACUGAGACACGGCCCAGACUCCUACGGGAGGCAGCAGUGGGGAAUAUUGGACAGUGGGCGAAAGCCUGAUCCAGCUAUGCCGCGUGAGUUAUGUAGGCCUUAGAGUUGUAAAGCUCUUUUACCCGGGAUGAUAAUGACAGUACCGGGAGAAUAAGCCACGGCUAACUACGUG